rnacentral:rRNA from 1 species
GUCUACAGCUAUGCCACUCUGAACAAGCCCGAUCCCAUCUAAUCUCGGAAGCUAAGCAGAUUUGGGCCUGGUUAGUACUUGGAUGGGAGACCACCUAGAAAGACAAGGUGCUGUAGGUG